CUCGGGCUUUCACGUGGGAGGGAGGUGGCUGCGGCUGUAUCUUUGAGUGCGUCUUUCCCCUUAUAUGCUCCCCGGCAAGGAGUCCCCCAAAUCUUGGCUACUUCCUUCCUGACCCCUACCCACUCGUGCAGUGGUGUCCCGGGGCGCUCAUCCCUGCUUCAUCCCAGCUCUUCGGAUUCACCUUCCAAAUGUUCUCAGGCCUCUGGAUUCCUCUCUGUUCUGCUGCUCCUUCGGAUUUUGCAACCUCCUCUCAGAUGCCCCUUUCCCGCUCUCGACUUCCCUACACACCGGUCUGCGGAUACCAUUUCAAAAUAAAAGAAUACUCUUUCUGAGCGGCUAGAACAAAUGAUUACUGACCCUGUUCUAGCUGCUUGAGAUUGAGUAGGAAACAGGAGCAAAGGAGUUCCUGCCCUCAGGAAACUUACAGUCUUACAGGCACACUUCGGGAUGCUGUCUUGCCACACUUGCUCACCUGACUGCAUGAAAUUAGAGUAGGACCCAGUGGUUGGAUGAGAAGUUCCCCUCCCUGCUACUUAGGCUGGUGAUUUACUGGAAAAUCCUCUCUAGUGAUAUGCUGGACAGCAGCUACAGCUCCCAGACAGCUGUGCCAUCACAAGAGUAAACAACCCAUACACUGACAACCAUUCUGUUCCCAUACAGCCAUUGUUUUUGUUUUUAGUACAGUAUUCAAUAAAUUACAUGAGAUAUUCGAUACUUGAUUAUAAAGGAGGCUUUGUGUUAGAUGAUUCUGCUCAACGGUAGACCAAUGUAAGUGUUCUGAGCACAUGUAAGGUAGGCUAGGCUGAGCUGUGAUGUGUGGUAGGUGAGGUGUAUUAAAUUCAUUUUUAACUUAUAAUAUUUUCAACUUAGGAUGGGACUUGAUAAACCCCUUUACCAAUACCCCCUUACAAUGUAACUUUGUAUUUGUUUCCAUCAUAAGGUGGGGACAAUUUCCCAUUGCUGGAACCAGGGAUGCCCUGUGACUUACUUUGCUCGGUAGAAUAUGAUGAAGUGACAAUAUGCCAGUCCCAAGCUUAGACCUCAAAGGCUUUGUGUGCUCUUGUUUCCGUCUUGCUUCUAUGUGAUCACCCUGAGAAUUAAGCGCUCCUGCUGGAGAACGGGACAGAGCCCAAAUGUUCCAUUCAAAGCCCUAGAUCCGUGGAAGAGCAUGUAAUGCCCAGCCAACCCAUCACCUGACCAUAGAAGCCUGAAGAAGUGAUUCCAGCAAGGCCAGCUGAGCCAGGAUCAGCAGAACCGUGCAUCCAACCUAUACACUCAUGAGAAAUGAGAAAUGAGUCUCCAAGUGUUGGACUGUUCCUUUAUGCAACAAUAGCCAUGUGAUACAAAA